UACGUAGGGUGCGAGCGUUAAUCGGAAUUACUGGGCGUAAAGCGUGCGUAGGCGGUUCGUUGUGUCUGUGGUGAAAGCCCCGGGCUUAACCUGGGAAUGGCCAUGGAAACUGGCGAGCUGGAGUGUGGCAGAGGGGGGUGGAAUUCCGCGUGUAGCAGUGAAAUGCGUAGAGAUGCGGAGGAACACCGAUGGCGAAGGCAGCCCCCUGGGCUAACACUGACGCUGAGGCACGAAAGCUAGGGGAGCAAACGGG
rnacentral:rRNA from 1 species